AUGCUUAUUUCGCAGUGGGCAACGCAGAGGGAAACCUCCGCGUGAUUUUCUGUCAAAGUCGGGGAAGCUCCUAACGAGGGUAAUCCCGAGCCAAGCCUUGAAAAGAACAAGACCUCUGCCAUGCCUAUCGGCAGGCGGGUCGAAUUCGAUACAGGGAAGGUGUAGAGACUUGAUGGCAGACACCCUCAUUCCGCCAUUGGCGGGACGGGUGAAGGGAAAGUCCAGACUACAAACUUCGAC
rfam:Candidatus Thrbacteria bacterium RIFCSPHIGHO2_02_FTLL_54_11 rifcsphigho2_02_scaffold_8656, whole genome shotgun sequence.